GAAAGCUCAGUCAGUAGAGCAUGAGACUCUUAAUCCCAGGGUUGUGGGGUUUGAGCCCCAUGUUGGGCAACA